CCAGUCGGCCGGACGGUUGCUGCGGCGCGCCGGCAACGGCCGCCGGGGAGGAAAGUCCGGGCUCCACGGAAACACGGUGCCGGGUAACGCCCGGCGGGGGCGACCCCAGGGAAAGUGCCACAGAAAGCAAACCGCCGCGCGCCGCGCGGUAAGGGUGAAAGGGUGGGGCAAGAGCCCACCGCGCUGCCGGCAACGGCAGCGGCAUGGUAAACCCCACCGGGAGCAAGACCGAAUAGGAACGACGCGGCGGCAACGCCAGGCCCCGUUUCCGGGCCGGUCGUUCGGGUUGGUCGCGCGAGGCGUCCGGUAACGGGCGUCCCAGAUGAAUAACCGUCACGCGGCGGGCUCCGGCCGGCCGCCGUACAGAACCCGGCUUACAGGCCGGCUGGCAUU
rnacentral:RNase_P_RNA from 1 species